rnacentral:rRNA from 1 species
GACGAACGCUGGCGGCGUGCCUAAUACAUGCAAGUCGAACGGUCUUUUCUAUGGAAGCUUGCUUCCACUGAGAAGAUAGUGGCGAACGGGUGAGUAACACGUGGGUGACCUGCCCAUAAGAGGGGGAUAACAUCCGGAAACGGGUGCUAAUACCGCAUAGUUUUCUUGAUCGCAUGAUCGAGAAAGGAAAGACGGCCUUGGCGCUGUCGGUUAUGGAUGGACCCGCGGCGUAUUAGUUAGUUGGUGAGGUAACGGCUGACCAAGACGAUGAUACGUAGCCGACCUGAGAGGGUGAUCGGCCACAUUGGGACUGAGACACGGCCCAAACUCCUACGGGAGGCAGCAGUAGGGAAUCUUCCGCAAUGGACGAAAGUCUGACGGAGCAACGCCGCGUGAGUGAAGAAGGUUUUCGGAUCGUAAAACUCUGUUGUCAGAGAAGAACAAGUCGGAGAGUAACUGCUCCGGCCUUGACGGUAUCUGACCAGAAAGCCACGGCUAACUACGUGCCAGCCGCCGCAGUAACAC